rnacentral:rRNA from 1 species
GGGAUACCGCCCUGAAUGUAUUGAAAUUCUAACCUACGGGUCUUAUCGACCCGGGAGACAGUGUCAGGUGGGCAGUUUGACUGGGGCGGUCGCCUCCUAAAGUGUAACGGAGGCGCCCAAAGGUUCCCUCAGAAUGGUUGGAAAUCAUUCGUAGAGUGCAAAGGCAUAAGGGAGCUUGACUGCGAGACCUACAAGUCGAGCAGGGACGAAAGUCGGGCUUAGUGAUCCGGUGGUUCCGCAUGGAAGGGCCAUCGCUCAACGGAUAAAAGCU